ensembl:miRNA Gm44333 predicted gene, 44333
GGGAAUUCUGUGUGGGCCCUUGCGGUUGUCGGGCGACUCCGCUGGCAAGGUAGCCCAGUGCUCGAGUGGGGUGGAAGGGACUUGUGCCCCAGGUCAGGCCCGGGU